UACGGAGGGUGCAAACGUUGCUCGGAAUUAUUGGGCGUAAAGCGCACGUAGGUGGUCUGUUAAGUCGGAUGUGAAAGCCCUGGGCUCAACCCAGGAAGUGCAUUCGAAACUGGCGGGCUUGAGUAUGGAAGAGGGUCGCGGAAUUCCCGGUGUAGAGGUGAAAUUCGUAGAUAUCGGGAGGAACACCAGUGGCGAAGGCGGCGACCUGGGCCAAUACUGACACUGAGGUGCGAAAGCGUGGGGAGCAAACGGG
rnacentral:rRNA from 1 species